rnacentral:rRNA from 1 species
GACGAACGCUGGCGGCGUGCCUAAUACAUGCAAGUAGAACGCUGAAGGAGGAGCUUGCUUCUCUGGAUGAGUUGCGAACGGGUGAGUAACGCGUAGGUAACCUGCCUGGUAGCGGGGGAUAACUAUUGGAAACGAUAGCUAAUACCGCAUAAGAGUAGAUGUUGCAUGACAUUUGCUUAAAAGGUGCAAUUGCAUCACUACCAGAUGGACCUGCGUUGUAUUAGCUAGUUGGUGGGGUAACGGCUCACCAAGGCGACGAUACAUAGCCGACCUGAGAGGGUGGUCGGCCACACUGGGACUGGGACACGGCCCAGGCUCCUACGGGAGGCAGCAGUAGGGAAUCUUCGGCAAUGGACGGAAGUCUGACCGAGCAACGCCGCGUGGGUGGAGAAAGUUUUCGGAUCGGAAAGCUCUGUUGUAAGGGAAGAACGAGUGUGAGAGUGGAAAGUUCACACUGUGACGGUAUCUUACCAGAAAGGGACGGCUAACUACGUG